rnacentral:lncRNA from 1 species
UACUCUGCCUGGCCCCGCCCCCACUCCUCAGUAUUUCUCCCGCCAUAAUACUCAACUCUGAAUGCUGUUGCUUUGUCACAAAACUCUUGGACCGUAAACUUCCCAAGGGAGGAGAUAACGUCAGCACAAGCUUCAUUGUCAAGUACACACCAGGCAAGUGGGCAUACUACGUGAAUUGUUUGCCAUAUGGACGAGUGAAUGAAGACUUCCCAGGCUCCAGAGAACAUUCCACUCCUCUGCCUCUGGGAUCAUCCAUCCCUGGCCAACAUAAGGAAAGUUAAUAUAAAAGAAAAGAAAGAAAACAAAAACAUUGUAACCCAGGACAGAUAGAAAGAAAAAAAAAAACAAAACUUAAAAUGAAACCAAGCCCUGGAGAGUUGUCAGUAGUGGGGUGCUUGCCUGGACUACGUGAGAACCUGGGUUUCAUCUCAACAUAGAGAGAAAGGAAGAAAACAAGAAAGAGAAAAUCAAAUGAUGAAUGGAAGGCUCUGCUCAGCAUACAGGUCAGAGCCAACUUGGGAAGUUUUAGCCUCAGUCUGGUGGGACAGAUGGAGCCAGAAGCGCAGUCGUUGGCAAUGAAGGAACCUUUGAAGAGGAUGGAAUCGAAGCUCGUCAUCUCCAGAGGAGUACAGAUGGAGCCUGCAUCUGAGAGGGG